rnacentral:rRNA from 1 species
CACAAGCAGCGGAGCAUGUGGUUUAAUUCGAAGCAACGACGAAGAACCUUACCAGAUCUUGACAUCCAAUUGACCAUCUUUUAAUCGAGAUUUUGCCUUCGGGUACAAUUGAGACAGGUGGUGCAUGGUUGUCGUCAGCUCGUGUCGUGAGAUGUUGGGUUGAGUCCCGCAACGAGCGCAACCCUUGUGUUUAGUUGCAAACAGGUCAAGCUGUGCACUCUAGACAGACUGCCGUGGACAACACGGAGGAAGGUGGGGAUGACGUCAAAUCAUCAUGCCCCUUAUGAUCUGGGCUACACACGUGCUACAAUGGCCGGCACAACGGGCAGCGAAGGAGCGAUCCGGAGCGAAUCCUAAAAAGCCGGUCCCAGUUCGGAUUGCAGGCUGAAACUCGCCUACAUGAAGUUGGAGUUGCUAGUAAUCGCGAAUCAGAAUGUCGCGGUGAAUGCGUUCCCGGGUCUU